UGCGUAGGGUGCAAGCGUUGUCCGGAAUUAUUGGGCGUAAAGAGCUCGUAGGCGGUCUGUCGCGUCUGCUGUGAAAACUCAGGGCUUAACCCUGAGCUUGCAGUGGGUACGGGCAGACUAGAGUGCGGUAGGGGAGACUGGAAUUCCUGGUGUAGCGGUGAAAUGCGCAGAUAUCAGGAGGAACACCGGUGGCGAAGGCGGGUCUCUGGGCCGUAACUGACGCUGGAGGAGCGAAAGCAUGGGGAGCGAACAGG
rnacentral:rRNA from 1 species